rnacentral:misc_RNA from 1 species
GCCCAUAGGUUGGGUCGUGACACAUAUAAUUUUAAUUUUAUGUAUAUUAAUUAUCUUUGAGUCUGUUUAUAUGAGAUGGAGAAAGGGUAAGUAAUGAAAGAUUAAAAAAAUUGCUAAAGAGGAAAAGGAUAAAAGGGAUUAUAAUAAAAAAAAUUGUUUGGAAAGGGUUAAAUUAAUGGAAAGUAAAAAUAUGUGAUAUAUAUUUCUAUGUUUAAGAAGAGGUAGAAGAAAGGUAAACUUAAAAAGUGUAAAAAUAAAAGUAGUCAUAACUCUCACAUCCUAUUCUUAUAUCAUAAUUUGAGAUAUAAGAAAAAUUAUAAUUUGAGAGAUAAGGGAGAUUAAGGGUUACCACUACCCACUUAACCAUCUUUAUUUUUAUUUACCA